rnacentral:rRNA from 1 species
CAAUAGCGUAUAUUAAAGUUGUUGCAGUUAAAAAGCUCGUAGUUGGAUUUCUGGCCGAGUGUCCCUAGGCCAGCAUGACGUUUGGUCCUAGGCGCUCUGCCAUCCUUCUGUCAACCUUCGCCUUCUUCAUUGGGGGCGCUGGGGCUCAGAUAUUUUACCUUGAGAAAAUUAGAGUGUUUCAGGCAGGCUUUCGCCGGAAUACAUUAGCAUGGAAUAAUGGAAAAGGACUUCAACCUCUUCUGUUGGUCUGAGAGGCUGUAGUAAUGAUUAAUAGGGAACUAGUUGGGGGGCAUUUAGUACUUUACAGUUCUAGAGGUGGAAAGUUAACUUCCGUUAGGUUUAGUUUUAAAGUACGUAAAACGUUAACGUAACGUUCCGUAAAGGCCGAAAAGUUUCGACCUUUAAGGGACCUAAGGGUUUUACUAGUUUUUUAACUACUU